GAAAUACAAGGUACAAAGUCUUGUCAAAUGUGUAUACCAUGAAUUGGUUUCAAUUAAGAGUAAACCAUUGUCAAAGAACUAGUAGUAAAAAAGGAAACAUAGUCUCAUUAUCUAAGAGGUUAUCGAUUCUUAGGAAUUAAUUUCCUACAAGUUUCCUCAACACCCAAAAAUGUUGUAGUGUUAAAUGGGUUGUCUCCGAGAUUAGUCGAGGUAUGCAUAAGUUGGUCCGGAUACUCUCAAAUAAAAAAAAACUAGAAACAAAUUUACUCUAUAACAAGUAAUAAUGGAGAAUACAAUAAAAUUAAAGUGAAAAGUAGUAACUAAAUCUUUUGGGAAAAUUUUGCACUUUAUGAUGGAACUAAAUUCAUUGGCAUUAUUUCGAUUCCUGCAAAUAUCUGCAACCUGCAGAGAAUCAAAUUCGGACAUAUUAAAAGUCUGUACUCUAAAUGAAAAGAGUUACACAAUACAAAAAGUCCUAUUUUUGCAUUUCUUCUUCAAUAUUAUACUGCCCAACUUCAAGUAUAAACAUAUAAUCAAUAGAAUAUAAUUAGAGAAGAUAAGAGGCUAACUUUACUUUUAAAAGAAGUCGACGUAACUAUGUAAGUAUGAUAUCCAACAAUAAUAUCCAUCAUGCAAGCAUUUGGCUGGGAAUUGUGAUAAAUCAUUAACCAAAGCCUAAAAUCUUCAACUCAAGAAAACUUCUUUGAAAGGAGCAAAAAGAUGACCCCAAAUGUAAGCUAUGGAUACAAGUGAAGUUUUAAGAAGCAAAUCAUAUACGACUGGAAGUCCAAAGUUAAAUAAAGGAAGAGGAUGUCAAGAGCAUUUUUCCUACUUGGGAGGGAUAAUCCAUCAUUUACUGAACAUGGAAAUAGAAAGAACUGUGAAAUUGAAAUUUAUAAGUCAAGUUACACCAAGUUGAAAACAUAUCAUAAUUGGACACUUUUAAAACUCCACUACUCUAUAAACUUUGAUAACAAAUGACCAUUGAGGUUCCUAAAAUUCAUCAAAAGGAACAACUAUGAUACUACGACUUGCCAUAAAUUAUUUCACCCCAAAAGAUCUCAUACCAGUGGAUAAAGUUGCCCACACGUGUAUACCCAUGAUCACUCUUCUCCAAUCAAUAUGUGAUUUUGUACGCACUCCUACAAUCCUCUCCUCCACCAAGUACCACUUUGAGCUUACCCUCGAACAAAUCUAUUUCACUCCCACCACGAGAGCUUGCUCUAAAUUUCAAACACCUUCCCUUCACCUUCGGUCACUUGCUCACCCGAGCACAAGCAUAGACCACACGUAUACUUAUCACCAGACUAGAACACAAACAAGACUCACAAAGUUUCUUUGUUCAAAUUUGAAGAUUUCACUCACACAGUUGGACCUAGACCAAGGCUCGGCUACCAAUUAUUAGGGACAAAGGACAUUCACAUAUCUCCACAAAUGGUAUGAUAUUGUCCAUUUUGGACAUACACCCAUGUUCCAAAAAUUCAAACCAAACAACCAAAUUCCAUAACAUAAAAAAAAAAAAGGCUCCUAACACUGAAAAUUAAGCAAAAACAGAUUUACAAACUAGUCCGAAAUUUCCUAGAUAAAAUGAGCAGUAGAAGCAACAAUAUGUGUAAAAAAAAUGGCUCCUAACACUGAAAAUUAAGCAAAAACAGAUUUACAAACUAGUCCGAAAUUUCCUAGAUAAAAUGAGCAGUAGAAGCAACAAUAUGUGAAGAUUACGAUGAAAAGCAAGUUGAUUCACGAGAGUUGAAAAGAAAAAGAUGAGCAGAAUUCAACAAGAAGAAUAUAACGAUGGAUUUAAUGAAAAUCAAUAGUGUACGAAACACAGGGUUCAAGCUUGCAAAAACAAAUCAAACCCUAGAACAACACAAUAGUUAGAUUUUUCUGAAGCUAUAGCACCAUCAAUCACUGACCCUAGAUAAUUUCAUAAUUGCAAAAAGAACACAAAGAAAACAAAUGAUAAAACUGGAAGAUUUACAAACCUAAAAUGUCGACCUUGGAAGAAGAAGGGCAAGAUCAAUCUGAAUGGAAAAUAAAAAUGAAUAAUAAAAAAAACUGGCCCAUGCAGGUUUCGAACCUGCGACCUUCGCGUUAUUAGCACGACGCUCUAACCAACUGAGCUAAUAGGCCAUUUUGUUGUAAAGGUUAAACUUAUUAAAUUUGUAUAUUUCAGUUUUUAAGAUUGAAAAUACUAUAAUUGUUUACUUGUUUUAUUCACAUUUUAUUCGACUAAACAUCAAACAAAAAUAUAUGUUGUCCAUUAAACAUAAAAAAAUAAAAUUAAGGUCUUCUAAUCUUGUGGUGAGCGAGAUGAAGAUUGAAAUUUAAAGAAUAGAGCUGACGAAGAGGAGGACUGAAACCCACAACUAAAACACAUAUUUGAUAAAAACCCACAAAUUCGGCGAAAAUCCACUGUUAAAAUACAAUUCACGGAAAAAGGAAGAUGAAAAACCCAUAUCCAGUGAAGAAGAAGGUGUCGUGUAGAGGAAGACAAUGAGAGGCGAAGAGAAAGACAACGAAGACAAUGAGAAAAAGAGGAAGAAGAUUGUUAUUUCGAAAAGACGAUGGAGAUAAGAGGAAGAAAAAGGAAAUUUCGUGGAGAUUGGUUAAUUGUGCGAUAAUAUGGAAAUAUGAGGAAGAAAAAAGAAAUCACCAGAGAAAAAUGGAUAAGGAAAAUUAAAUAGAAAAAUAAUCGAAAAAAAGAAAAAAGAAACCAAUAAAAAUAUUUGAGAAAAAAGAAAAGAAUACCAAUAAAAACAAUUGAGAAGAAAAAAAACCAAUAUAAAUAAUUGAGAAACGGAAACGGAAUAUACUACUUUUUUCUUAAUCCCAACAAUUUUUAUAAAAUGAUAAACGUUUCUAUUUUUUUUAAAACGAGAAACAGAAAGCGUUACCAAACACCUCCGUUUCUUAAAAAUGAAAACAUAAAGAGAAAACAGGAAAAAAAAAAUGUUAACAAACAUACCCUUAGUAUCCAUUGUUUGAAUUUCAUUAUAAAUUCAUAAACUAAGAUAUUGUCUCAAUAGAUAAACAUGUUUCCAAAUAAUUUUAAUUUAUGAUGACUUGAUGUCUUUUGAUGAUCGGAUGAAUACCAUAUGCUUUUAAUAUUUUAUAAGUAAUAAAAUGAUUAUAAUUUUUAUAAAUAAUCUUUGUUAGCCCGAAAAACAUAAAUAUAAUGUAUUUGCAAGAUUAUUUAAAACAAUGAUAAAUUUUUAAAAAUAUUUAUAAAUAUAGCAAAAUGUUACCAUCUUUUUGUGAUAGGUUAUUAUUUAUAUUAAUUGUGAUGUAUAUACAGGUAGAAAAUAAUUUAUUUAUAUAUAUAGAAGUCAUUGCAGGUAGACUAUAAUGUUUUUGUAAACAUUUUUUAUUCUAAUAAAAAAAUUACAAGUUACAAAAUUUUAAAAAUUAAAUUCAAUUUAACUUGUUAAGUUUUUAUAGAGAAUGUUAUUAAAAUUUAACGUGGUAAAUUCAACUCAAUCUACAAUUCAUUAUGCAAUAAUUCUGUUUUAAAAAGAUAGCAACAAAAUAUCACAUGGGUAAAUACAACAUAAAUAAGCACUUUAAUUUACUAUUGUGGCAAAAAAAAUUAUUACUAUAUAAAAAAUAAAAAUGUCAAAAAUAGAAAAUUUAACAAAAUAUUUAUCAGCUAUAUCGAUAACAAAUAUUUGAUAGUGCCCUUUUAUUAUCGGCAUUAAUAGUCGGUGUUAGAAGUCCAUCGGUUUCUAUCUUUGAUAGAGUUAAAAAAAAUUAUAUCUUAUAAAUAUUUUAAUUUAUUUGGUUGUUUUAAAUAAUGUUACAAUUUUUUUUUAUCAUAUAUUUAGUAAACAUAAAUUUAUAUAAAAAAUUACUUCAAAUAACCUAACAAUUGAAAAGAAUUAUAAUAGACAUUUGUAGGCUUAUUUCAUUGUUUAUAAAUGUUAUUGAUGGACACGAAUACAACACUGAGUCCAAAGGAUAGAGAUAUGAACUUUUAUGAUAUAUUAUCUUUAUAAAAUUAAGAUACUUUUAUAAAUUGAUAUUAGUACAGGUUGGGAUCAAACCUUCCACUUAAUAUGAACAUAUUUUCGUUUUCCUUUUUGAAGCUCAAAUUUGAUGAAUUAGUAGUAGACACAUGUCUUCACUUCCUUCUUGACUUUCCUACUCCUAACGAAAUUACGAUAAUCGAUGUUGUACCCCCCGAUCUGGUUUUUGGUCCUCACAGCUCCAUGAAUUGAAAACCGUUCAAGUGAUUUGUAUGAUUUUAACACAUCAUCAUUCCAUUCGAUGGGACAAUCGAUGAUUUCCAAAACUCUUAGGGUUUCGGUGAAUCUUUGAGUCCAUUCCGGCAAUUUUUUCACUAUUGGAAGCUCUCUGAUUGUGAACCUCUGAAGCCUGAACUCCACUCCUUUCAACGUCAGUGUAAGUUUUUUGCAACUCCAAAUCACCAAAUUCUUUAGUGAUAUUAGCGAUCCUAUCUCGUUUGGCAACGAUUUCAAUGUCUUACAAUCGUAAAUCAUUAGGGUUUCUAGGCGUACGAGGCAUGACGGCUUUUUGAAUAGAUCUUGUAGGUUUUGGCACCCUCCAAUUGCGAGAAAUCGAAGAGAAGUCAUGGUUCCAACUCCAUUUUUGUGCAGACGAAGGUUGUUUGCUGUUACCCAGAGGUAUCUCAGGUUGGUCAAUUGCCUAAUAUCAUUGGGCAGUUCUUUAAGUGCGGAACAGGAUGCAAGAAUCAAGGUUUGUAAAUUUUUUAGCUUGAAGAUUGAAUUUGGUAGCCGCUUGAUUUUCUUAUUCCCUUGCAAGUCUAGGUAUCUGAGCUGUACCAGAUUUUCUACAGCACUUGGAAUUCCCUGUAGAUUUGCAUUGCCUAAAUGCAAUAGUCUUAAGUAUUUGAACUUGUCGAUGCAUGCAUUUGCUAGGAAUGCACUAGGGGGCACCUUAUCUCUUAUUGUGAAGGCUAUAGAUUGGGUUUUUGUGACUUCGAAUACCUGUUUUUGUGUGAGUAGACGUGCAAGUUUUUCAAUAAGAGGGUGCAAUUUAAACCAAUAGCCAAAACCAUAUUCCUCUAGUUCUUGUAGGAAACAUCUUGAGCAUAGUUCCUUGAAAUAAUUCUCACCUAUUUUUUCCAAAGAUAAGUAAUUCUCUUUGGGUAGGAGGUCGCUUGCAAUCCAUAAUUGAAUCACAUCAUUGGAAGACAAUAUGCGAUCUUUUUUUAAUUGGGAACAAUAAAGAAAACAACGUUGUAGGUGUGAAGGCAUUUGAUCAUAGCAUAAUCUAAGUGUAGGUAAAAUACUCUUAUUCCCAUCCUCCUCUUCCUCAUGUUCCCAUAACUUAUCGAUGACACCGUUCCACUCAGCUAUACUAGUUUUUGAUAGCAGACCCCCCAGGCACUUUAUUGCCAAAGGAACCCCAUGACAUUUCUGCUCAAUUACUUCUUGUAUUUUUGUGAGAUUUGGGAUUUGUGCUUCCUGUGUUUCUGUGAAAGCAUGAACUUUGAACAAAGACAAUGAAUUUUCCUUUGACAACCUCUCAACUUUGAAAAUUGUUUGAUGUUUCAUAUUAUCCUUGUUAACAUCUGAAGGUUUUGUGGCUUCUGGGGAUGGAACUACCUGGCUCUCGUUCUUGUAGAGUUUUUUUAGUCCGACAGCAUCAGCUAUUUUCUCAUUCUGAGUGGUCACUAUGAUUUUGCUGCCACGGUUUCCCAUCCCCAAUAAACUUUUAAAUAUGGAGCAAUUACCAAGGUUUUUGAUUGAAAUAUCUUGAAAAACAAUCAGAAAUUUUUUAUCCCUCAGAAAUUGUUGAACUGCAAAGCACAAUUGUUUCUCAGUCAAGUUAUCACAUGUUACUUGGCAAUGUGAAAAACUGAGCAUCUCUUUUAUCAAUCUCUGUGGAUCAAAUUCCUCUUUCACACAAAUCCACAAUCUUGAUGGAAACGUGUUCACCAGAUUGUUGUAAAAGAAUUUGGCAAGUGUGGUCUUACCUAUACCUGGUUCUCCAACUAUGUGGAAGAGCCCGUGAGUAGAUUUUUUGAAAUGAUCCAGAAAGUUAUGAUAUCGUUUGUCUUGGAAAACCUUGGGAGCAUUAGUCAACGAGUAAAGCAAUUGCCAACUUGGUUUCAUGAGUCUUGUCGAAACUUCAGUAGCACUAAGAAAGGAGUGUGUUGUCUCCAUGUUUGUUAGAUUGAAGCCAUACAUAUGGGAUGCAAUUUCAUCCAAAUCGUCGCAUAGUUUCAUCAUUUUUUUAGUUUGAUCAAUUUGACUGAAGUUAAAGGAAGGAAGAAAUACCCAUUUUCCAGUAGCCUCUUGUUUUUUGACUUCCCUAUUGGAUUCAUAUAGCAAUUCCUCAAUUUGUAAAAAUACACUUUGAAGCUUCUGUAGCCAAUCAUUUAGACAAUGACGAUAUUCUUCCUUUUCAGCAUCCUUAAGAAUUGUUUUAAGGCUCAACAUGGUAUACUGCAUUCGUCUCAGGUACAUUGGGAAUUUUUUUAGCUCUAUCAAGAUAUUUUCUGCUUGCUCAUAGAUGCAACAAGCCAUUCGUAUAUAUUUGGAAUAUGUCGUUUCUCUUCCUUUCAAUUCGUUGAGUUUGAAUGAUCUAUAGAUGAAGACAGUUAUAUAGCACCUACCCAUGGAUUCGUUGCAUUAUCAAAAAGCAAAGUAGCAUUAAAACUUACUUUUCUUUUGGGGAAAUGUAUAUAUUAGAAUAGGGACACUUACGCAAGUAUGUACAAAUACUUGUAUUUGUACACUAAAACUAUUAAUAAAGUCCAUUAGAAUUUAGAAAUAGUUUCUUUACGUUCGAUAUCCCACCCUCCAUUCUUGUACUAAAAAAAUUCAUUACAAUUUUUCAAUCCCACUACUCAUGAAAUGCUUCUUUCUAAAGUAGAUUUUAUUAACUCUAUUAAGUGUUAGUUCGACUAUGCUUAAGUUGACAUCAUCAAAUAGACCAUUGACGAUAUUUAACUUAAUUUGUUACUAGAAAAUUAAAAUAUGAAAGGCUUAGAUUAGUAAUUUACCACAAAUUUAGUUUUGAGUUUUUAAAGCAAAACUAGAAAAUGAUUUUAAUUCAAGAGAUAACAAAUAAUGGAAUUCGAUUCAAAUCCAUUCAAAUUUAAAGUCGCUAAAAAUCUGAAGAAAAUAGCCUGAUUGUAUCCCCACUAAGUUCAUAUUUUCUUUAUGUUUUUAUUCAUUUCUUAUUUUUAAUUUUGAUGCCGUCAGUACAAAACCUUUGGGUGGUUUUUUCUUCUUUUCUCUAUUUUGCCCAUUUUUAUUCUUUCAUUUAUACAAUAUAUUCAAAUUUCAAGAAAAUAACAAAUAAUGCUCUUUUUGUCUCUUGUUCCUUGUAUUUUUAGAAUAAAAAAACAUUUGAUUAUUCCUAUUAUUCAUUUCUAAACAUUUCCAUUUUUUUUUUGAAAACAACGAAAGGCAAGUUGGCUUUAUUUGUGCGUUCUUAUUUCUAAUUCCCCCCCCCCCCCCCCCCCCCCCCCCAAAUAUCAUUCUGAACCAGUAUGUAUCAAUAAAAGAAGAGAGAAGAGAUAGUUAGUAAAUGCGUCUCGAUUUUUUUAAUUAUAAAAAAGUACAUAAAAAUUGAUAUGAGAUUAAGAAAAUUAAAGGAAAAAUUGCAAAAACCACCUUUGAAGUACGGUGGUUGUUGCAAUUAGACCUUCAAACUCCCGUUUGUAAAAGUUGAACUCCUAAACUUCUAAGUGUAAAAAUUGGACCAUAGUAGAAAUUGGAUCCACAAAUGAUAAAAAUUGAACUCUUAAACUUUACAUGAAGGUUUAAUUCUUAAAAUUGAAAGUUUAAGGGUGUAAUUACAACUGUUAAGGGUAGUUUUUGCAAUUUGUCCAAAAUUAAUUCUUUCUAAACAAGUUUGUGGAUAUAAGUGAAGAACAAAGCUAAUACCAUUGUUGAUUCGCUUAUAGAAUUAAUAGAAAACUCAAGUGUUAGGUAAUUGUAUAUUCUUUGCUUUGAUAGUGGAGUCGAGAACAUUUUUAAUAUUCUUAAAGGUAACAAUCCUUCCUUUUACAAAUUCCAAGUUCUUGUAACUUGUUAUCUCCAAGGAACAAAAACUAUAUUCUUCCUCUGCUCUAAAUCAUUAUGAGAUACUUUUUUUUGUUGUUACUUUAAAUGUAAUUCAUUUGUUAGUUGAAAAAAAUUUAGGACUUACGCUACUAAGCGGAGAAAAUUUGAUAUUCAUACUAACUCUUUAAAGAUUAAGAAAGAACUGAACAUUCCAUUGUUAAGAGAAGAAAACAUUCUUUCACUUCUUUUAAACGCACCAUCAUUUCUAGGAUAAGAUGUUGAUGUAUCUUCUGGAGAAAUAAAGUUUUAUACAAGAACUUUUUGGAAAAAGAACACAUUUUUUAAUCUUGAGGUUUGACUUGCAUUGCAUAUAAGUUCCAAUUUUCAAACUGAUGAGGAGCAGGAAUUUAAGAAAUUUUGUGGUGGGUAAUGUAGCAUUCAUUAUAGGACAUGUUGUCUUUCAAACCUUGGAGCCCAUUCCUCUCUUUCUUCAUUCUUAAAUUUAUCUCCCAUCUCAAGAAGCUUUGUUCCAUUGUUCAUUUUCAUAUUUCCCUUUGAGUUUCGAUUUCAAAUACCUUAAUCUAUAGACGUGAUUUCACAUGGAUGGAAUCCCCUUUUUGUAAAGGGGGACGGCAGGUGUGUUCUUUCAUUUUUUUUUCCAAUGAAAGCUCUUAUUUUCAUUAAAAAAGAACAACAAAAAUUGUCUCCCAUCCUGAUCAACUUCUAAGUUGGAAUUGACUGUUGUCCAAGAAAUACUUUCACAAACAUUGUUGUAUCCAAAGGAUGCUUGGAAUAUGUCUCUCCUCUUAAGUUGGUACGUUCUCUGUAAAGGAAGUGAGUAAAUUUGAUGCAUUUAUUCUUUCUUUUGUCCUUUUUAUAUGGCUGCCUUUAGAAAGUCCUACUAUAAGUUUCCAACUUUGAUUUGUGUUGGUCUAGCAAAGCUGUUUGGUCUAAAUUUUAAUGAGGUUUUUGCCCUCCUUUCGGGCAGCUAUGGUGCGAAAGAAACUUGUCACUCCUUUUGAACACCAAACUAAGGGAGGUGUUUUGAGAUCUUGUCACUCUUUGUCCAUUCCUUGUUAAUUAUUUUGUAAUUUUAGCUUAUCUCAGAUUGUCUCUAGUUUGGCAUCUUGUUUGUAACCCUUUUGGUGUGAGGAGAUAUCUCAUCUCCUUCUCUUUUUGUAAAUCACCUUUUGAUAAUGAAAAGUUUGUUUCUUAUAUAUAGAUAUAUAUAAAAGGAACAUUUUUUUAUGGAUGAAUGGUGUAUAACUUCAUACUCCAUAACAAUGCUUGUUUGCAAAGCGCAAGGCGCGCUCUAAGACACAAACUUUUUAAUCGCCUCAAGGCGAUGGGUGACAAAAAGAUGUUGCCUGAUCGAAGCGAGGUACAACUAUUAAAAUAAUUCAUAAUAAUAAUAUAAAUGAAAAAUACAUAAGAUGAGAUAAUAUAAAGAUAUAAAUUGCAAAGAAGAGACAAGACCUAAGGAUUCGUGAGAAUCCGAACAUUCCAACCAAGUUGACACCCUUCUAAUUUUGUUAUUUUAAAUUGAUUAACUUAAUUAUUUAGAAAUGUUUGACUUAAAAAUCAAAUUCUUUGGAUAGGAUUUUGAUAAUGAUUAACUAAAAAAUAAAAUAUAUAAAAAUUUACCUAUGUUUGAUUAUGUUUAAUAAUAUCAUACUUCAUUUAUCUUGAAUAUGACUAAUUUGUAAGUUAAAUAUUUUCAAUAUAGCUCAUUUUAAAUCAAAUAUAAUUUAAAAUUAAUUAUUAAAAAAACUAUUUCAAAUUAAAUUUAAAUUUAAAUUUAAAUUUGGACCACAAUAAAUAUAGUUUAUUUUAUUAAUAUUAGUUUAUUAAGUUUUAAAUUCAAGUUCAUCUCAUUUUCAAUUAUUUCUUUUUUUAAAAACUAUUUUUUCUUCAAUUUUGAAAUUGAGAUGGGACUAAACUUAAAAUUAUUAUAAUUAUUAUUUUGCAUAUUCUUUCAAUUAUAUGCAAAGAUGAAGUAGCCUUGCAUGGGUCUACAAUUAUUUAUUUAUUAUUAUUCUCUUCAUUUUUCUUUUUCUUUUUGUUAGAGUAACUUUAAGCUAAGUGUUUUUCCUCGAUAAUUUAAUGUUAAUUUUAAUAAUAGAGAGAAAAGUUCAUAGUACAAGAAAAUUGUAUAAGUUAGUGCACCGGACAUCUCAACUAGGUUGACAUCUUUAUAGCAUCUUCAUCAUUUUAUUAAUAUUUUUAUUUUCAAAAAAGAAAAAAUUAAUUAUAUUUUUAUAUAGGUGCCUAAGAAUUAUUGCAUAAAUGACUUUGUUACUACUAGAUUAGUUACAAUCACACUCAACUUUUAACUUGACCAGUCACUUUUGUGGUUUGUCAAGUGUUGUAAUCGGGCUUUACACUUGUGACUUGUUAAUCGAUAAAAAACUUUUCCUCAUUCAAAACAUGAAGUCUCAAAGAGGGAAUGUUGAAGAAAUCUUUUGAAUAGCAAAUGAGAGUUGGAAAAGUAAAACUCAAAGAGAAAAGAAUGGAACAUUCAUCUUCGAACUACUUUUGAACUUUUGAGUUGUUCUAACCUUGCAAAUUCCGUAUUCAAAUUCUAAUAUUCUGUCAUGUUCAUUGUUUUUUCUUGAGUAAUUCACUAAUUGUAAAAGCUGUUUUUCUUUAACAAUUAAAUAGACAGCCAUUGUCAUUGUUGGCAAUGAAUAUUGGUUACUUUUAGUAUGAAGGCAUUUAUGAGUUUCUUAUGUGAUGGUUGAUAUUGCUACUAUGAAUGAGUUAUGAGUUCCUCAUAUAUUUACUUUAAUUCUUUUCUUUUUAUACUCUUAUAUCUUAUGUAUUUUAGAGAUGUGGAGUACCUUUCAUCUUGUGUAGACAUUAUGUGUGGGUUAAUUUACCUUACAAUGGUAGUGGUUAAACAUCCUAUGUUAGGGGCAAUUAUUCAAUUUUUUUUAUAAUUGGAGUUUCAAUAUGAUGUCUAUAUCUAAAAUCGAGGACAUAUCGAGGGAGGUAUGUGUAUUAGAAUGGAGAAAGAGUGUUAUUUGGCUUCAUGGGUGGACUUUGGAAGGGGUUAAACUUGUGUACACUGAUCAAGGAUUAACAUAUAUGUCGACAUGUGUAUAUCUAUAAAAAUAAAUUUUAUAAGUUGCAUGACAUAAAUAUCCAUCAAUAUUGAUAUUUUAUCGAUACAUCUGUGAUAUAUUUGUUAAGGUUGAAAUCUCAAUAUCGAUGUUUUAAUCCUUGAUACUAAUGAAAACGAAGUUGAGUCUUCUAAACUUGUGAAGCUUUUUUCUCUCUCUUGGGAACCUCUAAACAUGUGAAAUUAAUUAAUAUUGAGCACUUGGAAGCCACCUUAAAUAAGGUGGAACAUCACUUUAGAUGUUCGAAUGCAUUAACAAUGAAGAGAUACAUAUGGUAAAAGAUAUAGAUGUUGAAGAGAGUGAUACUAGUGAUAGAAGUGUAGCCUUGAAGUUCGAAAAAUCAUAGAUAGUGACCAUGAAGGCGUAGGACACACUUUCCCAUUUUAUUAUCAUUAUUUUUUAAAAUACAUAAUUGAAAGUGGAGGGACUUGAGCUUCUGACAUGUUGAUCAAGAGUCUUUUGUUUUUCAGCUGAGCAUAAUCCUUUCAAGUGAUUGAUGGUACAUGAAGAGUAAAUAACUAAUUUAGGAAAUGUUUGGAGCAAGAGGUGAAAUAUUGAACUUCCAGGAGCUGUAAAGUUGUGUACUCUUAUGAUCCAAGGUAUUACAAUUUUUUUAGUAGCAGAGCCCACGAACUCUUUACGCUAAAUAAGAAGUGGGGUUCACGUACUCCCCAACUUCUACUCCCACUACUUGGUCCAAACAAUCUCUUUAGGCUUUAUGUGUUUGGCUCAAAGAUUUUGCGAGUUCAUGUACUAAAAAGAUAUAAUGUAUUUUUAUAUUUUUAUUCAAACUCCUUUCAUAAUGGACCAUAGAAGUUCACAAUUCUGCUCUUUCUUCCCAACCGCUCAUGCAUUUGAAUGGAUGAAUUAAUAGAAGUUACCUGUCAUCUGUACUUUCUUCGUUACCAUUGGACUACGCCGUACCAAAUUCCCAGUGAUGUCUACAGCUCCUUGAAUUAUCUUACUUUCAACUGCUUUGUACAUUUUGAUUCCCUCUUCCUCCACUUUGAUGGGACAAUCGAUGAUUUCCAGGACUCUUAGGGUUUCUGUCGACCUUUGAAGCCAUUCAGGCAAUUUAUUCACUUCUGGAAGCUCUCUGAUUGUGAAUCUUUGGAGGCUGAAAUCGACUUUCUCUAAGCCCUUCAGUGUAAGUUGUUUGCAACUCCAUAUCACCAAAUUCUGUAACGAUAUUAGAGACCCCAUCUCGUUUGGCAACAAUUGCAAAGAGUUACAAUCGUAAAUCAUUAGGGUUUCAAGGCGUACAAGGCAUGAUGGCCGUUCGAAUAGAUCUUGAAGUUUGUCACAUCCUCCAAUUGCGAGGAAUCUUAGAGAAGUCAUGGUUCCUACUCCAUUUUUGUGCAAACGAAGCUUGUUUGAUGUUACCCACAG
rnacentral:lncRNA from 1 species